rnacentral:rRNA from 1 species
CGGCCGUAACUAUAACGGUCCUAAGGUAGCGAAAUUCCUUGUCGGGUAAGGUCCGACCUGCACGAAGGGCGUAACGAUGGCCACACUGUCUCCACCAGAGACUCAGUGAAAUUUAAAUCGCUGUGAAGAUGCAGUGUACCCGCGGUUAGACGGAAAGACCCCGUGAAACUUUACUAUAGCUUUUCACAGGACUUUUAAUAUUUAUGUGUAGGAUAUGUGGGAGACCAAGAAACAGCUACGCCA